UAUAGCUCAGUCAGUAGAGCACAAGAUUCUUAAUCUUAGGGUCGUGGGUUCAAGUCUCGCGUUGGGUGAAAG